UACAGAGGGUCCAAGCGUUAUCCGGAAUCAUUGGGUUUAAAGGGUCCGUAGGCGGUUUAGUAAGUCAGUGGUGAAAGCCCAUCGCUCAACGGUGGAACGGCCAUUGAUACUGCUAGACUUGAAUUAUUAGGAAGUAACUAGAAUAUGUAGUGUAGCGGUGAAAUGCUUAGAGAUUACAUGGAAUACCAAUUGCGAAGGCAGGUUACUACUAAUGGAUUGACGCUGAUGGACGAAAGCGUGGGUAGCGAACAGG
rnacentral:rRNA from 1 species